rnacentral:rRNA from 1 species
UACGUAGGGGCAAGCGUUGUCCGGAUUAUUGGGCGUAAAGAGCGUGUAGGCGGUCAGGUAGGUCCGUUGUGAAACUCGAGGCUCAACCUCGAGACGCCGAUGGAAACCAUCUGACUAGAGUCCGGAAGAGGAGAGUGGAAUUCCUGGUGGUAGCGGUGAAAUGCGCAGAUAUCGAGGAAGAACACCCGUGGCGAAGGCGGCUCUCUGGAACGCA